rnacentral:rRNA from 1 species
ACGAACGCUGGCGGCAUGCCUAACACAUGCAAGUCGAACGAGACCUUCGGGUCUAGUGGCGCACGGGUGCGUAACGCGUGGGAACCUGCCCUUAGGUUCGGAAUAACUCCCCGAAAGGGGUGCUAAUACCGGAUAAUGUCUUCGGACCAAAGAUUUAUCGCCUUUGGAUGGGCCCGCGUUGGAUUAGCUAGUUGGUAGGGUAAAAGCCUACUAAGGCGACGAUCCAUAGCUGGUCUGAGAGGAUGAUCAGCCACACUGGGACUGAGACACGGCCCAGACUCCUACGGGAGGCAGCAGUGGGGAAUAUUGGACAAUGGGCGAAAGCCUGAUCCAGCAAUGCCGCGUGAGUGAUGAAGGCCUUAGGGUUGUAAAGCUCUUUUACCCGGGAUGAUAAUGACAGUACCGGGAGAAUAAGCUCCGGCUAACUCCGUG